UAGCGAGUUGGUCCCACCUGAUCCCAUACCGAACUCAGAAGUGAAACUACUCAGCGCCGAUGGUAGUGUGGGGGUUCCCAUGUGAGAGUAGGACAUU
rnacentral:rRNA from 1 species